GGGCCGGUAGCUCAGUUGGUAGAGCAUACAUCUAGUAUAGAAAUGUUCUAGGUUUGACUCCUAGCCAGUGCA